rnacentral:hammerhead_ribozyme from 1 species
AUCCUACUAACGAGUCCCAAACAGGACGAACUGCGCGUCAUGGAU